AGGGCCAGAAAAAGGUACAAGGAGGUUGAGGGGGCAGCCACGUGCCCGCAAGAGGAUUUACAACAUUUUCCUUCGCUAUCGACAAUAUUGCAAAAUAUGUGAAAGAGACGGCGUAGCCAGGACAGGAGUGUGAGGGCACCGGCAAGUGUUUUCCCCCUACCGGAAAUCUGAUGGGCUUAUGACAUCAUGGCUGGCUGCUGAGCGAUGAAGUGGAUGCCACAAAGAAAUUGGACAUAUCGGAUGGAUUCUGAAAUCAGUUUCCCUCUGGCUGUAGUAACAGGCGUGAAGUCAGGAGAAUUUGAGCUUUGUUUAAAAAAUAAA